CGCUCUUUGCAGUAAAUCUUGCUGCUGCUCUCUCUUUGGGUCCGCAGUACCUUUAUGAGCUGUAACACUCACUGCGAAGGUGUACGGUUUCACUCCAGUAGCCAGGGAGACCAACCACGAAUGCAGUGCGAAGAACAAGAACCCACCGGGAGGAACAAGCAACUCCGGACACGCCACUUUUAAGAGCUGUAACACUCACUGCGAAAGUCUGGGGCUUCAUUCUUGAAGUCAACGAGACCAUGAACCCAUGGGGGGGAAUGAACAACUCCAGACGCGCCACCUUUAAGAGCUGUAACACUCACUGCGAAGGUCUGUGGCUUCACUCAUGAAGUCAUCAAGACCAUGAACCCACCAGAGGGAAAAAACUCUGGACACCUCUAAACCUCUGGAGGAACAAAGUCCCGGCACACCAUCUUUAAGAACUGUAACUCACUGCGAGGGUCUGCGGCUUCAUUCUUGAAGUCAGUGAGACCAAGAACCUACCACAAGGAACCAAUUCUGGACACACUAGUGUUGUUGGAUCUGAAUCUGUCCCCAGCAGUUACAUGGUGGAGUGAGUGAAAGUGCUGGAACCCACAUGAUAAAACUAAACAAGGUUACAGUCCUGAUGUUGGUUGUGCUGCAUUGUCAUCUGGUGGCUCACUUGGGAGAGAAAAACUGUUCCCAGUCUCAUUAAUCCUAUAUGAAUAGAAAUACAAGGAAAACAUGAUUUAACAGUAGGGAAACAUAAAGAAGAUACAACAAUUUUAUUUCUCCUGGUGAUGUUUCUUUGCAAGUGGCUUUGGUCAAAGAGAAGGUCAAUGAGAAUGUCUGGAAAAUGGAUUCCAUCUGUUCACAAGAGUACAUGAAGAGGGGAAGGUUGUCAUUGUGUACAGACUGGAGAAUCAGACCUAAACAAAACCCAGAGUUAAGGAAGUAAGUUUUCUUUGGAGAGAAAUUUCAGCUCCAGAGUAAAUGCCAACUAUUGGGGUAAGCUUCCAGAAGGAAGUAGGGAACAGCAAAAGGGGGAACCUGCCAGAAGUAAAUUCCAGCUGGAAUAUCGUAAAGUGACAUAUGUGUGAGGUGCUGUAGCACAGCUGGUUUACUUCUCUAGGUAUCAUCAGGCAGCUGAACAUGCUGGGUGAAACCAUUCCUGGCACAGACUUCUUGAAGGUUCAGUGAAGGACCCGGACAAGCCUAGGUAAUUCAUUCAUUUCCAGACACAGUCUCCUCUAAUAUUUUCAAAUAAGUGAACGUUAUGUUUUUUGGAACAAUUACUAAAUUACAGUUUCAUAGUGUUUCUAUUUGAUGAGCAUUUUUUU
rnacentral:lncRNA from 1 species